rnacentral:rRNA from 1 species
CUGGCGGCGUGCCUAACACAUGCAAGUCGAACGGAAUUGGAGAGCUUGCUUUUCAGUUUAGUGGCGCACGGGUGAGUAACGCGUAGAUUAUCUGCCUGAUGAUCCGGGAUAACACUUCGAAAGAGGUGCUAAUACCGGAUAAGCCCACGGAGUCUUUGGACACUGCGGGAAAAGGGGGGGACCUUUUGGCCUUCUGUCAUCAGAUGAGUCUGCGUACCAUUAGCUAGUUGGUAGGGUAAUGGCCUACCAAGGCUACGAUGGUUAGCUGGUCUGAGAGGAUGAUCAGCCACACUGGGACUGAGACACGGUCCAGACUCCUACGGGAGGCAGCAGUGGGGAAUUUUGCGCAAUGGGCGAAAGCCUGACGCAGCAACGCCGCGUGAGUGAUGAAGGCUUUCGGGUCGUAAAGCUCUGUCGAGGGGAAAGAAGUGUAUUGGAGCUAAUAUCUCCGAUACUUGACGGUACCCCUAAAGGAAGCACCGGCUAA